UACGUAGGUGGCAAGCGUUGUCCGGAUUUACUGGGCGUAAAGCGCGCGCAGGCGGAUUGGUCAGUCCGGGGUGAAAUCUCACGGCUCAACUGUGAGCGGUCCCCGGAUACUGCCAGUCUCGAGGUGUCUAGAGGAGAGCGGAAUUCCCGGUGUAGUGGUGGAAUUCGUAGAUAUCGGGAAGAACACCAGUGGCGAAAGCGGCUCUCUGGGGACCACCUGACGCUGAGGCGCGAAAGCGUGGGGAGCGAACAGG
rnacentral:rRNA from 1 species